rnacentral:rRNA from 1 species
UACGAAGGGGGCGAGCGUUGUUCGGAUUUACUGGGCGUAAAGGGCGCGUAGGCGGCUAUUCAAGUCAGGCGUGAAAGCCCCGGGCUCAACCUGGGAGGUGCGCUUGGGACUGGGUGGCUGGAGUUCGGGAGAGGAGAGUGGAAUUCCCAGUGUAGAGUUGAAAUUCGUAGAUAUUGGGAAGAACACCGGUGGCGAAGGCGGCUCUCUGGACCGAGACUGACGCUGAGGCGCGAAAGCGUGGGGAGCAAACAGG